GGGGGAUUAGCUCAGUUGGGAGAGCGCCGCGCUGGCAGCGCGGAGGUCAAGGGUUCAAAUCCCUUAUCCUCCACCC
rnacentral:tRNA from 5 species